UUGCUAGAUUGAUGGCGGGUGGCGAACGGGUGAGUAAUACAUCGGAACGUGCCCUGUAGUGGGGGAUAACUAGUCGAAAGAUUAGCUAAUACCGCAUACGACCUGAGGGUGAAAGUGGGGGACCGCAAGGCCUCAUGCUAUAGGAGCGGCCGAUGUCUGAUUAGCUAGUUGGUGAGGUAAAGGCUCACCAAGGCGACGAUCAGUAGCUGGUCUGAGAGGACGAUCAGCCACACUGGGACUGAGACACGGCCCAGACUCC
rnacentral:rRNA from 1 species